rnacentral:snRNA from 1 species
UGCCCACCCUGGAAACGGCU